ensembl:ncRNA lncRNA:CR45412 long non-coding RNA:CR45412
AAGGAAUUAAAACAAGCAACCAUAAAAUAUUAUGACAGCGUGGAAAUUGGGGUAGAAGUCGGUGAAAUAUUUAAAUUUCGCCAAGCUGCUUUUAUAUAAUUUUAAUGUCCUUUUUUCCAGAGCCUCUUAAGGUCCAGCCAAGUGGAGUGCGACUUGCCGGCUGCUUUGCAUAAUUAUAUUCAUUGAAAACUUAUUUUCUUCAAGUUUUCCGCAGCAGGAAAAUAUUAAAAUAAAAAUACGUUGAAAAGAGAAAAAAUCCAAGAGCUGAAUUGAGUUACAUCACAAGAAGAUGGCGAGAAGAGAAACAGUUUUUGACAUUUAAUUGCUGAAGAACUGCAGCUUGGCGAUGGGUCGCUAUAUAAUGGAGGUGGAGCAACUGAGUAUCGGAGAAGAGCUGCCCAAAUGUCCACCUCGCCACUUGGAGAAACUCGUUUCAAUGGCCAGCAUCCUGAAGAUGCUGGAACUUGUGCUGCCGCAGAAUAAGAGGACCGAAAGCUGAGGAGCUCGUCCCAGAGAGAAGAAAAAAUGUAACAUGAUUUAAUGACAUGAAUUAUUUAUGAGUUUCCUGUCAAUCAAAAACCACGUCAAAGCAUUUUGAUGGCGAUGUCAACGCGCCAGUGAGCAAAACACACGAUGCUACCUCGCCACAAGCAU